UACGGAGGAUCCAAGCGUUAUCCGGAUUUAUUGGGUUUAAAGGGUGCGUAGGCGGCUUGAUAAGUCAGAGGUGAAAGACGGCAGCUUAACUGUCGCAGUGCCUUUGAUACUGUCGAGCUUGAAUGUGAUUGAAGAUGGCGGAAUGAGACAAGUAGCGGUGAAAUGCUUAGAUAUGUCUCAGAACCCCGAUUGCGAAGGCAGCUGUCUAAGUCAUAAUUGACGCUGAUGCACGAAAGCGUGGGGAUCAAAC
rnacentral:rRNA from 1 species